CCUUCCGCAGCGUCGAUCGAUGCUCAGAGGCGUUCGCCGCCACCAGCAGCCCUUUCGCCUCCACGAGCACACUAAACUCAAUUAUUAGUUCGUCUUCCCCGCUGUCGCUCUUAUUGCCGCCACUAUCUCAUCGACGGCUCUACGACGGACACGAAAGGACAUCGCUGCAUUCAUCGCCUCUGAGUAGCUCGCCGUCAGUUACCCUUCAAUUGUGGAACUCAGCCGUCGCCGCGUUCGCGUUUAAAUAUAUGCCGGCAGCCCCGUUUGCUGAACUGCAGCCCUUGGGCGGAGAGGAAGGGGUCUCCGCCCAUGCCAGAUGUCGUCCGCCGCUCGGGAACGCCAUGGGGAAAGGGUGCUGUCCGCUGCCACUGACCACGCCCUAGGAGGCGCACCGUUGAGAUCAGGAGGGAUGCCUUCAGUCCAGGCUCUUCCUCCCUCGCCUUAUUUAUUUGAUUCUCUCUAUUUUUCAGUGCGUGAAUGUGUGUUUGUAUAUAUUUGGGUGAGGCAUGAAUCAGAUUGUCUAAGUAUGUGAACCAGAGAUAAGAGAAUACACAUGUUCUAACAAACAGCGAUGCAAUAUGGAGGACUUGAUCGUUUACGUUGGAAGAAUGGACAACCUGCAGGGCAACAGGGGUAUCUCACAUCUAUCUCUUUAGGGUUCAGAUUUUUGUCAGAUUCCACCUGCCGCAAGUGCGAGACGAUUUUCUGCAGAUGCUGAGGUGGCUCAAACGGAUCUGUUGGCACCCUGUCCAUGCAUACAAUAGCAUUCCCUGCUCUCCCCGUUCGAUCAUCUGUUCAGGAGCAUCAAAUGGUUUCAAGCAUGCUUCCGGUUGCCUGGCAGUUGGUGAGAGAACUAUGUGAUAUUAUCCUCUCAUGUAACCUGUUCUGAAGCUCAAUUUAGGUGCAAUGUCUAUACAACAGAGUACACAAGUCGAAUCAGACCGAAGGCCAAUGGUUUUGUUAUUUUGGCGAGAGUCAACAUAUUUGGACAAUGUCUAUGUAUAAUAAUGUAACUUUACUGGGUUUCUGUCAUACAUUUAUUUGAACAUUUUGAUUACUACACUAGCAUAACCUCAUUUGGUUGCUACUACAGAUUUCAACUAUGGACACAUUAUCACAGUUUUCAUGUCCUAUCGUUGAUAGAUUAUACCUUGCCCUUA